UAAGCUCCGCACGGAAUGAUUUUUCUGAGCACGUGGCCGUCACAGGGCUGACGUAACACCAGCUGCCAUUGUGGAUAGCAUCCAGGUUGGUAGCACCGGUGU
rnacentral:sRNA from 12 species